rfam:Schistosoma mansoni strain Puerto Rico chromosome 1, complete genome
AUUCAGCUGACGAGUCCCAAAUAGGGUGAAACGGGCGUCCUGGAU